AUAAAGAGAAAAUACACAUUUCCAUUUCUGCCUUCUAUGCACAUAUUAAAAUUCAAUUUAUUCUUUUAAUAAAGAUCAUAUUAAAGUUAUGAUCUUUAUUGUUGUGCUUGAAAAUUAACCUUCAAAAUAGUUUUCAUAGCUAAUCAUCAAUAGCUUACAUCAGCGGGUCAUCAUCCAUCAUAAACAAAUUCCUCUGCUGAUGAAUGCCAUUAGAGGUGGUUGAAAUAAAAGCUCUGAAACAAAUCUUGUAAAUGGACCUUAAGUCGAUAAUUAGUAACAAGUGAAACAUAUCCAAGUUAUUUACUUGUGUAACGUUCUUGCAUUUCAGUGCUAAACAUAGGAAUCUGCUUACGACAAUAGCCAGAAAGAGAGAAAAAUUGAGAAAAAGUGUAAUAACACUGUACUAGCUAACAAAAUCAGUCAAGAGUUGCAUUUAAUCAUCACAGACCAGUUAUAUUAAAAAAAUUCAUGUUUUUCAUAGGUAUCUGAGCUUUCAUUAACCACCUGACAUAUGAACAUCUUGGUCCUCUGCACGCCCUCUGUUUAAAGUGUAUGUUCUCAGACAGCAGGACCGUUCAUCAAGUAAAAGAUGUUUGUUUUGCAUUCAGUAUUUUUUUCCACAGGUGAAGUUUGCCACAACUGUUGGAACAGCUGAUAACUGCACAGGUCCUUCCCAGUUUCCUAGACAUUGUUGUAAAAAGUAAUGUUACAUUGAAAGUUAAGGGAAAAAUAGAAAAUUGUCCAUUCUUAGGGCAGCAUUGUAUUCAAACAUAUUGUGGAGACGCCGCCUCAGUAAUGGCAACUUGUUUACUUCCGGUCCUUCCCCUGAUUUGUGUAUAGUAUGAACUUGUUGGCUAGGUUAUUUGUGAGAUAUUUGAAAAAAACAUUCUUGAAUGAAGUGUUCAUUCACUGUCAGUUCCUGCGCCAUGUGCCAACUGUGUGCAUCAGAAAAUCCCCUGCAAUCUUUGUUUUGGCUAGUGUGAGGCGGCAAGUGAUUAUCCGGAGUGCUUUCGGAAGUUAAUGUUCAUGGUCUGCACAGCGGGAUUCUCGGAGUGAUGACAGAGGAAGUGCCUCAGGGCGAGCGUCUCUUCGCUGCCAUCUCACUUUCACUGUUUGUGACAACGCGUUUACCCCAACAGAUGGCUCCAAUGCUCACACAGAGACAGUGCGAGGCUAUGAAGAACUGCGUGGGCUGAUACAACACAACGAUGUGCAAAAAAAUCCAAAACCAACUAGUGUGAAUUAAUGUAAAAUUGACUAAUGGGAUCUCAACAGUCAGCAAUGUGUUGGAAUAACUUGGUCAAAGGGCUCCGUCAUGCUUACUCCUAAAUUAAAGCAAAUUAAAAAACUGGAUCAUCCAUCUCUGGUUUAUUAUCUCAUCCGUUUAUUUCCUCUAACUUUAUUUUAUUCAUUUAUUUUUUUAAAUUCAGCAAAUGGUUAAAAGUUAGAGAUAGAACAGCAAAAAACUUAAACAGACUGCAGGACAUCUACAAAACAGGAAGUUCAAGGAAUGGACCCCAGUUCAUAUUCAUCUGUGGCCUAAUAUACACUAAAGCAGCAAUUGUGCAGUAGAUCAUGAAGCACAGGAAGAGUGAGUGUGGGGAAUAUGACACUUUGGUCCCAAACUGCAGCUCAAUCUAUCAAGUGAUGCCUAAACUGUUUUCUUUGCAUAUCAAAGAAGAAGAGUACAGCUUCGCCUUCAGGCCUCGGAAAUGACACACAGCACGAUGUCAGAAUAUGACUUACUGAGUAGUUCAGCGGGAUGGAAUAGUGUGUGUCGAACCCAACAAUCAAACUGCAUCCAGAAUACCCCAAAAAGACUAACUUCUGGUCAUGUUGGACCACUGUUAUUUUUUCUUAAAGACUGAAUAUAUACUGUAACAAUUGCAUGCCACCACACUGACACUACUUCUGACAUGUGCAGUAAAGUUUGAGGUUUGUAAAACUUGUUUAAAGGAAUAGUUUAAACAUCCGGGGAGAUACGCUUAUUCACUUUAUUGCCAAGAGUUAGAUGAGAGAAAGAAUGAAAAUUGACACCACUCAUCUCUAUGGUAAAUAUGUGGCUACUGCCAGCAGCCGGUUAGCUCAGCACAAAGACUGGAAACAGCUAGCCUAGCUCUGUUCGAAGGUAACAAAACGGCAACAGCGGCAAGAUGUAGAAGUCUGGCUGCCACUCUCAAAGAAUGUGCACAGUUCUUUGUCGCUGUGUUCAGAGUUUAUGAUGGUUCAACUUUUCUGCUUGCUGCCACAGCUCGCCAGGUCUCCAUGGCAACCACAGAAACCACAGGGAGGGAACUGAUACAGGAGCUGAGAAUCUGAUUUCCCUAAAUAAUAUACCUCUUCAACAACAAAAAGCAAACAAAUUAUUGAAGGGAAACGGAAUUGAGAUAUUGUAAAACUUGCUAGAUUAAUUGUGUCAUAUUGCUUAUUGUUUCCUCUAUUUUAAGCUACAAACAACUCUACCUAUGAUGUGAUUACAGUAGGUGGGGAGCAGCAGCCUGUAGUGUAUGUGGCAACAGAGUUGUGCCCUGCUGCCGCCAAGUCAAAAUACAUAAUACUGAAAAUGUUAAACAAUUUUGUUUUACAGUAAUUUUUAAUAUACUGAGCUUCUUAAGUGAAUUCACUUUUUAACUUCUGGAUUUAUCUAUGGAUUUUGGAAUAAAUAAUAAUAAUAAAAACUAUAAUAUAGUCUUUUACUGCUGAUUACAAUAACAAAGCUCUCUGAAUAUUAGAAUUUGAUUCUAGUGGAAGUCUUCUCCAUAUCAACGACUACUGAAGCUUGAACUGAUUGUAGAGAUGUGAAUUUUCAGUCACAAAGUUGAAUUAUUUAAUACAGAUAGCCAUAACAUAACCCCAUAGUGUUGUUGGGUUAUCCUAGAGACUCCAGGAGAAC
ensembl:lncRNA